rnacentral:rRNA from 1 species
AAUAGAUACCCUGGUAGUCCACGCCCUAAACGAUGUCUACUAGUUGUCGGGGGGUAACUCCUUCGGUAACGCAGCUAACGCGUGAAGUAGACCGCCUGGGGAGUACGGUCGCAAGAUUAAAACUCAAAGGAAUUGACGGGGACCCGCACAAGCGGUGGAUGAUGUGGAUUAAUUCGAUGCAACGCGAAAAACCUUACCUACCCUUGACAUGCCACUAACGAAGCAGAGAUGCAUUAGGUGCCCGAAAGGGAAAGUGGACACAGGUGCUGCAUGGCUGUCGUCAGCUCGUGUCGUGAGAUGUUGGGUUAAGUCCCGCAACGAGCGCAACCCUUGCCAAUAGUUGCUACGAAAGGGCACCCUAUUGGGACUGCCGGUGACAAACCGGAGGAAGGUGGGGAUGACGUCAAGUCCUCAUGGCCCUUAUGGGUAGGGCUUCACACGUCAUACAAUGGCUGGUACAGAGGGUUGCCAACCCGCGAGGGGGAGCCAAUCCCACAAAACCCAGGUCGUAGUCCGGAUUGCAGUCUGCAACUCGACUGCA